GAUGAACGCUGGCGGCGUGCCUAAUACAUGCAAGUCGAGCGAACAGACGAGGAGCUUGCUCCUUUGACGUUAGCGGCGGACGGGUGAGUAACACGUGGGUAACCUACCUAUAAGACUGGGAUAACUUCGGGAAACCGGAGCUAAUACCGGAUAAUAUUUCGAACCGCAUGGUUCGAUAGUGAAAGAUGGCUUUGCUAUCACUUAUAGAUGGACCUGCGCCGUAUUAGCUAGUUGGUAAGGUAAUGGCUUACCAAGGCAACGAUACGUAGCCGACCUGAGAGGGUGAUCGGCCACACUGGAACUGAGGCACGGUCCAGACUCCUACGGGAGGCAGCAGUAGGGAAUCUUCCGCAAUGGGCGAAAGCCUGACGGAGCAACGCCGCGUGAGUGAUGAAGGUCUUCGGAUCGUAAAACUCUGUUAUUAGGGAAGAACAAACGUGUAAGUAACUGUGCACGUCUUGACGGUACCUAAUCAGAAAGCCACGGCUAACUACGUGCCAGCAGCCGCGGUAAUACGUAGGUGGCAAGCGUUAUCCGGAAUUAUUGGGCGUAAAGCGCGCGUAGGCGGUUUUUUAAGUCUGAUGUGAAAGCCCACGGCUCAACCGUGGAGGGUCAUUGGAAACUGGAAAACUUGAGUGCAGAAGAGGAAAGUGGAAUUCCAUGUGUAGCGGUGAAAUGCGCAGAGAUAUGGAGGAACACCAGUGGCGAAGGCGACUUUCUGGUCUGUAACUGACGCUGAUGUGCGAAAGCGUGGGGAUCAAACAGGAUUAGAUACCCUGGUAGUCCACGCCGUAAACGAUGAGUGCUAAGUGUUAGGGGGUUUCCGCCCCUUAGUGCUGCAGCUAACGCAUUAAGCACUCCGCCUGGGGAGUACGACCGCAAGGUUGAAAUUCAAAGGAAUUGACGGGGACCCGCACAAGCGGUGGAGCAUGUGGUUUAAUUCGAAGCAACGCGAAGAACCUUACCAAAUCUUGACAUCCUUUGACCCUUCUAGAGAUAGAAGUUUCCCCUUCGGGGGACAAAGUGACAGGUGGUGCAUGGUUGUCGUCAGCUCGUGUCGUGAGAUGUUGGGUUAAGUCCCGCAACGAGCGCAACCCUUAAGCUUAGUUGCCAUCAUUAAGUUGGGCACCCUAAGUUGACUGCCGGUGACAAACCGGAGGAAGGUGGGGAUGACGUCAAAUCAUCAUGCCCCUUAUGAUUUGGGCUACACACGUGCUACAAUGGACAAUACAAAGGGCAGCGAAACCGCGAGGUCAAGCAAAUCCCAUAAAGUUGUUCUUAGUUCGGAUUGUAGUCUGCAACUCGACUACAUGAAGCUGGAAUCGCUAGUAAUCGUAGAUCAGCAUGCUACGGUGAAUACGUUCCCGGGUCU
rnacentral:rRNA from 1 species